UACGUAGGGGGCAAGCGUUGUCCGGAUUUAUUGGGCGUAAAAGGCUUGUAGGUGGCCACGCCAAGUCGGCUGUGAAAUCUCCCGGCUCAACUGGGAGGGGUCAUUCGAUACUGGCGGGCUCGAGGCCGGUAGGGGGAAGUGGAAUUCCCGGUGUAGUGGUGGAAUGCGUAGAUAUCGGGAGGAACACCAGUGGCGAAGGCGGCUUCCUGGACCGGUUCUGACACUGAGGAGCGAAAGCGUGGGGAGCAAACAGG
rnacentral:rRNA from 1 species